rnacentral:rRNA from 1 species
UACGGAGGAUCCGAGCGUUCUCCGGAUUUAUUGGGUUUAAAGGGUGCGUAGGCGGCCUAUUAAGUCAGGGGUGAAAGACGGUAGCUUAACUAUCGCAGUGCCUUUGAUACUGAUAGGCUUGAAUGUACUUGAGGUAGGCGGAAUGUGACAAGUAGCGGUGAAAUGCAUAGUUAUGUCACAGAACACCAAUUGCGAAGGCAGCUUACUAAAGUAUGAUUGACGCUGAGGCACGAAAGCGUGGGGAUCAAACAGG